UUCAAAUCGGCUUACAGGACCAGUACCUUCGUUGCCAGAAAAUAUCAGAGAGUUGGACAUCUCAAACAAUUCAUUUUCAGGAAGGCUGCCAUCAAAUAUUGGUGGUCCGGAUCUUGAAAUGCUUCUUAUGUAUUCAAAUCAAAUUGAAGGACGCAUUCCAGAAUCCAUGUGCAAAUUACAGAGCUUGUUAUAUCUAGAUUUGUCAAACAAUAUUUUGGAGUCUGAAAUUCCUCAAUGUUUUGACGGCAAACAGAUACAAUUUCUUCUGCUCAGCAAUAACAGUUUAUCUGGAAAAUUCCCAGCAUUCUUGCAGAAUAGCACAAGGCUGAAGUUCUUGGAUCUUGCAUGGAACAAGUUCUCUGGAAGGUUACCUACAUGGAUAGGAGAGUUGUGGAAGUUACGUUUUCUACUAUUGAGCCACAGUGCACUUUCUGGUACUAUUCCAGUCGAAAUAACAAAUCUUGGGUAUCUUCAAUUUUUGGAUCUAUCGGUCAACAACUUCUCUGGUCCUAUACCAUUGCAUUUGUCAAAGUUAACAUUUAUGAAAAAUUUACAAGAGCAAUUCAUGCCUAGGUCUGAUAAUCGAGGCAUACAUUUAAAUAACAUUCAAUUGGUUUCUCCAACAUUUGGCGCUGGUCACCUAGCAGAAAUAUUGUCAGUAAUUACUAAAGGACAAAAACUUAUCUAUGGUAGCACAAUUGCAUAUUUUGUGAAUAUAGAUUUAUCAAGCAACUCCCUGACUGGUGAAAUUCCCACAGACAUCACUUCCCUUGUUGCACUCAUUAAUUUGAAUUUAUCAUCGAACCAAUUGAGUGGACAAAUUCCAAACAUGAUUGGCGCUGUGCAGUCAUUGGUAUCUCUCGACCUCUCUCAGAACAAGCUUUAUGGUGAAAUCCCAUUGAGCUUGUCAAGUCUGACAUCUCUGAGCUACCUGAACCUGUCCUACAACAGUUUGUCUGGAAUGAUACCAUCUGGCCCCCAACUUGACAUCCUCAAUUUGGACAGCCAGUCACUUAUGUACAUCGGCAACAGUGGACUUUGUGGGCCUCCUGUCCAUAAGAAUUGUCCAGGAAAUGAUUCUUCCAUCCAUGGUGAUCUCAAAAGCAGCAACGAAGAAUUUGACCCACUGACGUUUUACUUUGGUCUUGUGCUGGAAUUUGUGGUGGGGCUCUGGAUGGUGUUUUGUGCACUACUGUUCAAGAAGACAUGGAGAAUUGCUUAUUUCCGGCUCUUCGACAAGGUGUACGAUCAAGUCUAUGUAUUUGCGGCUGUGAAGUGGGCAAGCUUCGCAAAGAACACAGAUGCAGAAUAAGCAAUUAUUCUGAAGGAGGCAGUGUAUGUGCUGCAACCCACUGAACCAGAGCUCUGGACUAUUAACCAGGGUGUGGUAGAUCUUCAGCAGCAUUUGUUAUAUUGUGUGCCAUGUUUGUACCUCUAAAUAAAGAUGAAGAUGUCUAGCUCUUCAGAUACAUUUAUGAAUUUACUAUUGUCGAACUAUUGUGGUAAAUGUAAGACUUAAUAUUAUUUCGUAAUUCUGACACAUCUAAGACUUUACUAUUCUUCUGGGAUGUACUCCCUCCGUUCCUAAAUAUUUGUCUUUUUAGAGAUUUCAAAUGGACUACCACAUACGAAUGUAUAUAGACAUAUUUUAGAGUGUAGAUUCACUCAUUUUGCUCCGUAUGUAGUCACUUGUUGAAUCUCUAGAAAGACAAAUAUUUAGGAAUGGAGGGAGUAAUAAUCAUGAGGGUGGUCUUUCCCUGAGUAAUUUGAACAUUUUUAGCCGUUACAACGAGUAAGUUUUUUAUUUUUUGCAUGAUGGUUUUGUCAUCUGCACUAAAUUAGCUGUAUGAAUCCCUGCAGAAUUUCAGUUUAUAACCUUGCACUUAUACUCUGUUCUCUGAAGGGUACGAGUACGAGUACUUUAUUCCGUUGGCUUCAAGUUUUUAUUUGUAGCUUGAAAUGUGCACCGUAGAAAUGGCAUUGACUGUGUAAUCCUCAGAUGUUAAUGUCAAUCAGCAGCAAGUACUUGAAUUUCACAAGAUUUAGACUUAAGUGACUGUAUUUGGUUACUCUGAAUGAUGGUGAAACAGAUAAAUAAGAAGUCAGAGGGAAGGAAUUAACUAACCAGCAAUUUCCUCCUCUCGAUCGGCGCGCUCGGAGCAGCAAUGGCCGCAGCUCUGCAGCACUCGCCGGCCAUGGUGCAGCAGGGCGCCUCGCCUGGGAAGCCCUCGCCAAGGAGCUCCGGGGGCGCCGAAUCCAUCCUAUCCAGCGCUGGCCUCCUCGCCGGCUGGACAGCUGCCUUGACAGCACCUGAGGCCGCCCUCGCCUUUGUAGCGCUCAGGUGGAUCGCCGCCGUCGUCGCCGGUGGGGGAACGGCGGGCAGGGG
rnacentral:lncRNA from 1 species